UACUACGGGAGGCAGCAGUGGGGAAUAUUGCACAAUGGGCGCAAGCCUGAUGCAGCCAUGCCGCGUGUAUGAAGAAGGCCUUCGGGUUGUAAAGUACUUUCAGCAGUGAGGAAGGUGGGUAUGUUAAUAGCAUACUCAUUUGACGUUAGCUGCAGAAGAAGCACCGGCUAACUCCGUGCCAGCAGCCGCGGUAAUACGGAGGGUGCGAGCGUUAAUCGGAAUUACUGGGCGUAAAGCGCAUGCAGGUGGAUGAUUAAGUCAGAUGUGAAAGCCCGGGGCUCAACCUCGGAAUAGCAUUUGAAACUGGUCAUCUAGAGUACUGUAGAGGGGGGUAGAAUUUCAGGUGUAGCGGUGAAAUGCGUAGAGAUCUGAAGGAAUACCGGUGGCGAAGGCGGCCCCCUGGACAGAUACUGACACUCAGAUGCGAAAGCGUGGGGAGCAAACAGGAUUAGAUACCCUGGUAGUCCACGCCGUANACGAUGUCUACUUGGAGGUUGUGGCCUUGAGCCGUGGCUUUCGGAGCUAACGCGUUAAGUAGAC
rnacentral:rRNA from 1 species